CUUGAAUGUGGGUGGCAUUUUCCCCGAUACGCCUAUUUUCUCCCAGGUAGAGGGUUCCACCGGCUUGAGUUGGCCCGGAGGUUUCGUCUUGGUUCGUGUGUUGAAAAGGGAGUGGAGUUGGAUGUGCGAAUAUUGUGAUGUUUGUGGGAUGUUGUAGGUGGAUCUGAGCUUAGCGAAGGUCAUGAGUUUGCCUGCUUCACAAAUGUGUGACAGGUGGGUGAUCCCCUUGGCCUUCCAUGGUGUCGCAUGGAACGU